rfam:Pelobacter carbinolicus DSM 2380, complete genome.
UCCGAAAAUAGCAAACUCGGGGUAACUCGGGGACGCAAAGCCAUGGACCCGUUGCAGGCGGGCCGCCAGGCUACCGAAG